rnacentral:rRNA from 1 species
AGUGGAUGGGGAGCAACCUAUGUUGUGCGUGUGUAAAGGUAGUGCCAAGAAAAGCGAUGAUCAUGUUGAAAAUCAAUUCCCGGUACCCGAAACCGACACAGGUGGGUAGGUAGAGUAUACUAAGGGGCGCGAGAUAACUCUCUCUAAGGAACUCGGCAAAAUGACUCCGUAACUUCGGGAGAAGGAGUGCCUUAUUUAUAAGGUUGCAAUAACAAGAUCCAAGCAACUGUUUAUCAAAAACACAGGUCUCCGCUAAGUCGUAAGACGAUGUAUGGGGGCUGACGCCUGCCCAGUGCCAGAAGGUUAAAGAAGUUGGUUAGUGUAUGCGAAGCUGAUGACUGAAGCCCUGGUGAACGGCGGCCGUAACGAUAACGGUCCUAAGGUAGCGAAAUUCCUUGUCGGGUAAGUUCCGACCCGCACGAAAGGCGUAAUGAUUUGGAUACUGUCUCGGAGAGAGGCUCGGUGAAAUAGACUUGUCUGUGAAGAUGCGGACUACCUGCACCAGGACAGAAAGACCCUAUGAAGCUUUACUGUAACUUGAAAUUGGAAUUGGACUUUGCUUGCGCAGUAUAGGUGGGAAGCGUUGAAGAUAUUCUUGCGGGAGUAUUGGAGCUAUCAGUGAGAUACCACUCUUGUAAUGUUAGAUUUCUAACUUUGAACCAUAAUCUGGUCAAAGAACAGUUUCAGGUGGGCAGUUUGACUGGGGCGGUCGCCUCCCAAAUGGUAACGGAGGCGUACAAAGGUUUCCUCUGAACGGAUAGAAAUCGUAUCUAGAGUGUAAAGGCAUAAGGAAGCUUGACUGUGAGACCUACAAGUCGAGCAGGGACGAAAGUCGGUCUUAGUGAUCUGACGGUACUGAGUGGAAAGGCCGUCACUCAACGGAUAAAAGUUACUCUAAGGAUAACAGGCUGAUCUCCCCCAAGAGUUCACAUCGACGGGGAGGUUUGGCACCUCGAUGUCGGCUCAUCGCAUCCUGGGGCGGUAGUACGUCCCAAGGGUUGGGCUGUUCGCCCAUGAAAGCGGUACGCGAGCUGGGUUCAGAACGUCGUGAGACAGUUCGGUCCAUAUCCGGUGUAGGCGUUAGAAUAUUGAGAGGAGCCUUCUUUAGUACGAGAGGACCGAGAAGGACACACCGCUGGUGUACCAGUUAUCGUGCCAACGGUAAACGCUGGGUAGCUAUGUGUGGAGUGGAUAACCGCUGAAAGCAUCUAAGUGGGAAGCCCACCUCAAGAUGAGUAUUCUCAUC